UACGAAGGGGGCUAGCGUUGCUCGGAAUCACUGGGUUUAAAGGGUGCGUAGGUGGGUUGGUAAGUCAGUGGUGAAAUCUCCGAGCUUAACUUGGAAACUGCCAUUGAUACUAUCAGUCUUGAAUAUUGUGGAGGUCAGCGGAAUAUGUCAUGUAGCGGUGAAAUGCUUAGAUAUGACAUAGAACACCAAUUGCGAAGGCAGCUGGCUACACAUAUAUUGACACUGAGGCACGAAAGCGUGGGGAUCAAACAGG
rnacentral:rRNA from 1 species